GACAGAGGUGGCAAGCGUUGUUCGGAAUUACUGGGCAUAAAGGGCGCGUAGGCGGUCAAGUAAGUCAGGGGUGAAAUCCCUCGGCCCAACCGAGGAAUAGCCUCUGAAACGGCUUGACUAGAGUGCAGGAGGGGAGAGUGGAACUCGAGGUGGAGCGGUGAAAUGCGUAGAUAUCUCGGGGAACGCCGGUGGCGAAAGCGGCUCUCUGGUAUGCAACUGACGCUGAGGCGCGAAAGCCAGGGGAG
rnacentral:rRNA from 1 species